rnacentral:rRNA from 1 species
GAUCCUGGCUCAGGAUGAACGCUAGCUACAGGCUUAACACAUGCAAGUCGAGGGGCAGCAUAUUUCUAGCAAUAGAGAUGAUGGCGACCGGCGCACGGGUGAGUAACACGUAUCCAACCUGCCUUAUACUCGGGGAUAGCCUUUCGAAAGAAAGAUUAAUACCCGAUGUUAUAGUCUAACCGCAUGAUUUGACUAUAAAAGAUUUUCGGUAUAAGAUGGGGAUGCGUUCCAUUAGA